rnacentral:rRNA from 1 species
CCUACGGGUGGCAGCAGUGGGGAAUAUUGGACAAUGGGGGCAACCCUGAUCCAGCCAUGCCGCGUGUGUGAAGAAGGCCCUCGGGUUGUAAAGCACUUUCAGGGAGGAAGAACGCCUGGUGGUUAAUACCCAUCAGGAAAGACAUCACUCACAGAAGAAGCACCGGCUAACUCCGUGCCAGCAGCCGCGGUAAUACGGAGGGUGCGAGCGUUAAUCGGAAUUACUGGGCGUAAAGCGCGCGUAGGUGGCUUGAUAAGCCGGUUGUGAAAGCCCCGGGCUCAACCUGGGAACGGCAUCCGGAACUGUCAAGCUAGAGUGCAGGAGAGGAAGGUAGAAUUCCCGGUGUAGCGGUGAAAUGCGUAGAGAUCGGGAGGAAUACCAGUGGCGAAGGCGGCCUUCUGGACUGACACUGACACUGAGGUGCGAAAGCGUGGGUAGCAAACAGGAUUAGAUACCCCAGUAGUC